rnacentral:rRNA from 1 species
GACGAACGCUGGCGGCGUGCUUAACACAUGCAAGUCGAACGGAAAGGCCCUGCUUGCAGGGUACUCGAGUGGCGAACGGGGGAGUAACACGUGGGUGAUCUGCCCUGCACUUCGGGAUAAGCCUGGGAAACUGGGUCUAAUACCGGAUAGGAGCCAUUUUGAGUGUGAUGGUUGGAAAGUAUUUUCGGUGUAGGAUGAGCGCGCGGCCUAUCAGCUUGUUGGUGGGGUAAUGGCCUACCAAGGCGGGGACGGGUAGCCGGCCUGAGAGGGUGGACGGCCACAUUGGGGCUGAGAUUCGGCCCCGACUCCUACGGGAGGCAGCAGUGGGGAAUAUUGCACAAUGGGCGCAAGCCUGAUGCAGCGACGCCGCGUGGGGGAUGACGGCCUUCGGGUUGUAAACUCCUUUCGCUAGGGACGAAGCUUUUUGUGACGGUACCUAGAUAAGAAGCACCGGCUAACUACGUG